GACGAACGCUGGCGGCGUGCCUAAUACAUGCAAGUAGAACGCUGAAGGAGGAGCUUGCUUCUCUGGAUGAGUUGCGAACGGGUGAGUAUCGCGUAGGUAACCUGCCUGGUAGCGGGGGAUAACUAUUGGAAACGAUAGCUAAUACCGCAUAAGAGUAGAUGUUGCAUGACAUUUGCUUAAAAGGUGCAAUUGCAUCACUACCAGAUGGACCUGCGUUGUAUUAGCUAGUUGGUGAGGUAACGGCUCACCAAGGCAACGAUACAUAGCCGACCUGAGAGGGUGAUCGGCCACACUGGGACUGAGACACGGCCCAGACUCCUACGGGAGGCAGCAGUAGGGAAUCUUCGGCAAUGGACGGAAGUCUGACCGAGAAACGCCGCGCGAGGGAAGAAGGGUGUCGGAUCGGAAAGCUCGGUUGUAAGAGAAGAACGAGUGUGAGAGUGGAAAGUUCACACUGUGACGGUAUCUUACCAGAAAGGGACGGCUAACUACGUG
rnacentral:rRNA from 1 species